CGAUACGCUAGACUGUGUAUACAGGUACCAUUGGAGGAACCAGUGGUUACCCGUAUCCAAAUCGGUUCACAUCUUCAAUCUAUCGUCUAUGAAUGCGAAGGUUGUUACACUCCAUAAUAAUCCGUGUUACUUGAAGUAAAACAAGAAAAAAAAAUGAGUUAUGAAGGUUCAAGGAAAGUUAAUCGAGUUAGUAAGAAUAUCGUUAUAUAUAUGGUUGCCUUAAGUAUCCCGAGGUGACAUGGUAACCUAAAGGAUUUAAAAUCGCGUUAUGAGUAUGUAUAUGGGGUAAUGCGAGUGACCUUUUAAAGUAUUUGAGAUUAUUAGUAAUGAUAUAGAGGAUGGACAAAAGAUAUGAAUAUACUUUUGCGAUUGGAGUUUCGUCAAAGCUUUGUGAGUUCUCUAGUUAUGCUUAAGGUUAUUGUGAUUCUUUGGACCCUUCGAGAUGUGUAUAUGGAUUUUUAUUGAUGUAUAUAAGUGUGUAUAUGUAUGCAUAAGAGGUUACAUAAGGUUGGAAGAGGAUUAGAAGUUAAACGAAAUGAAUCGGAACAACUUCAGUAAAAUUUAGGACCCGAUUUUAGUCUAUAUUGUAGGAGGCAUAUCUCCUUGAAUAUGAGGAGUUUUAAGGUGUUUCAAAAGCCUAAAAUGAAGUUCAUCGAGUCUAGUUUGUAAUGCAACAAACCGCUCGUCAAAAUGAUAUCGGGAUAAGGAGAUAUGGACGAUGCAAGUUGGGCUGGCAGGGCAGCAAGUUUGGACCCGACCCAAACACUCACAUUUCGGCCCAUGAGGCCCAUUAAACUCAAUAGAUAAGUCACCACUUUGCCCUAUAUCAUUUCACACGACCUAAAACAGAUCCAAAACCCUUAUUUUCUCUCCCAAACCCCCUUUCUAAUUGAGCCAUCAUGUAAGUUAAAUCCUAGACCCUUGACAUGAUAUUAGUUAAAGAGAAGUUGUAGCUUAAGUUUUUUUUUUGUGUUGUUAAGCAAGCAGCUGGAAAGAGAAACAAGAUUCUUGAAGAUUCUGAUUGCUAAAGGUAAUUUCAACCUCCUACUCAUGUUAUCAAUUUGGAUUAAAGGUUUAAUAUGGUGUAUACGUGAAGGAAACGUUGAUAUACAAGCUAGAGAGAGAGAGAGCAUAAGCCAUGGCAUUCGGGCAUGGCUAGCAAAAUUGGAGCUCAAAUUUGUUGAUCCAAAAAUCAGAUUUUCUAGGUAUUUCAGCCCUUAGGAAGGUGAUAAUAACGUGGAGAAUUCAUUUGGAGCAACAAGAACAAGUAUUAGUUCAUUUCACAAAUUCUAGCUAAGUGGAAAAAGCCAACUUGUUAAGACCUUGGGGAGCCCGAGGCGUAGAUUGGGAUUUACUUUAGAUUGGCUAUCUUGGAGUGCGUACGAGGUACAGACGCACAGUUUGGUGAUCUACCCAUUUAGGACACCCUCUUCUGCUGUUUGGAGUGCUCUUCUCAUUUCAGAGCACACAUUUUGGUAUAGAUUCGUUCGCUAUGUAUAUAUGUAUUUGUUCAGGGGCACGGCGGGGCCCUGUCCCGCCAUAUGAUUCGGUUUGUCUGUUUAGAGGUCUGUAGACGUAUUUGUGGGUAUGUGUGCCUACUUCUGUUCAGAUGCGUUUGUAUGACCCUAUUCGUUAUGGCAGCCUUGUCGGCGUGCAUUUUGUA